CUGGAAUUCCUGGUGUAGCGGUGAAAUGCGCAGAUAUCAGGAGGAACACCGAUGGCGAAGGCAGGUCUCUGGGCAUUAACUGACGCUGAGGAGCGAAAGCAUGGGGAGCGAACAGGAUUAGAUACCCUGGUAGUCCAUGCCGUAAACGUUGGGCACUAGGUGUGGGGGACAUUCCACGUUUUCCGCGCCGUAGCUAACGCAUUAAGUGCCCCGCCUGGGGAGUACGGCCGCAAGGCUAAAACUCAAAGGAAUUGACGGGGGCCCGCACAAGCGGCGGAGCAUGCGGAUUAAUUCGAUGCAACGCGAAGAACCUUACCAAGGCUUGACAUGGGCCAGACCGCCGCAGAAAUGUGGUUUCCCCUUUGGGGCUGGUUCACAGGUGGUGCAUGGUUGUCGUCAGCUCGUGUCGUGAGAUGUUGGGUUAAGUCCCGCAACGAGCGCAACCCUCGUUCUAUGUUGCCAGCACGUGAUGGUGGGGACUCAUAGGAGACUGCCGGGGUCAACUCGGAGGAAGGUGGGGACGACGUCAAAUCAUCAUGCCCCUUAUGUCUUGGGCUUCACGCAUGCUACAAUGGCCGGUACAAAGGGUUGCGAUACUGUGAGGUGGAGCUAAUCCCAAAAAGCCGGUCUCAGUUCGGAUUGGGGUCUGCAACUCGACCCCAUGAAGUCGGAGUCGCUAGUAAUCGCAGAUCAGCAACGCUGCGGUGAAUACGUUCCCGGGCCUUGUACACACCGCCCGUCAAGUCACGAAAGUUGGUAACACCCGAAGCCGGUGGCCUAACCCCUUGUGGGAGGGAGCU
rnacentral:rRNA from 1 species